rnacentral:rRNA from 1 species
GUGGGGAAUUUUGGACAAUGGGCGCAAGCCUGAUCCAGCAAUGCCGCGUGCAGGAAGAAGGCCUUCGGGUUGUAAACUGCUUUUGUACGGAACGAAACGGUCCGGGUUAAUACCCUGGGCUAAUGACGGUACCGUAAGAAUAAGCACCGGCUAACUACGUGCCAGCAGCCGCGGUAAUACGUAGGGUGCAAGCGUUAAUCGGAAUUACUGGGCGUAAAGCGUGCGCAGGCGGUUUUGUAAGACAGGCGUGAAAUCCCCGGGCUCGACCUGGGAAUUGCGCUUGUGACUGCAAGGCUGGAGUGCGGCAGAGGGGGAUGGAAUUCCGCGUGUAGCAGUGAAAUGCGUAGAUAUGCGGAGGAACACCGAUGGCGAAGGCAAUCCCCUGGACCUGUACUGACGCUCAUGCACGAAAGCGUGGGGAGCAAACAGGAUUAGAUCCUGUGUAGUCC